AGAGGGUGCAAGCGUUGUUCGGAAUUAUUGGGCGUAAAGGGCGCGUAGGCGGCGCGGUAAGUCACCUGUGAAAUCUCCUGGCUCAACUGGGAGCUUGCAGGCGAAACUGCCGUGCUGGAGUUUGGCAGAGGAGACUGGAAUUCCUGGUGUAGCAGUGAAAUGCGUAGAUAUCAGGAGGAACACCGGUGGCGAAGGCGGGUCUCUGGGCAAUAACUGACGCUGAGGAGCGAAAGCGUGGGGAGCGAAACAGG
rnacentral:rRNA from 1 species